rnacentral:rRNA from 1 species
AACGAACGCUGGCGGCAGGCUUAACACAUGCAAGUCGAGCGCCCCGCAAGGGGAGCGGCAGACGGGUGAGUAACGCGUGGGAAUCUACCCAUCUCUACGGAAUAACGCAUGGAAACGUGUGCUAACACCGUAUACGUCCUUCGGGAGGAAGAUUUAUCGGAGAUGGAUGAGCCCGCGUUGGAUUAGCUAGUUGGUGGGGUAAAGGCCUACCAAGGCGACGAUCCAUAGCUGGUCUGAGAGGAUGAUCAGCCACACUGGGACUGAGACACGGCCCAGACUCCUACGGGAGGCAGCAGUGGGGAAUAUUGGACAAUGGGCGCAAGCCUGAUCCAGCCAUGCCGCGUGAGUGAUGAAGGCCCUAGGGUUGUAAAGCUCUUUCACCGGUGAAGAUAAUGACGGUAACCGGAGAAGAAGCCCCGGCUAACUUCGUGCCAGCCGCCGCAGUAAAAC